AGUCGAGGGGCAGCAUAUGGAUUGCUUGCAUCCAUGAUGGCGACCGGCGCACGGGUGCGUAACGCGUAUGUAACUUGCCUUAUGCAGGAGGAUAACCCGAAGAAAUUCGGCCUAAUACUCCAUAAGUGUCAGAGAGGCAUCUUUCGGGCAUGAAAGAUUUAUCGGCAUAAGAUAGACAUGCGUGACAUUAGCUAGUCGGUGAGGUAACGGCUCACCGAGGCGACGAUGUCUAGGGGUUCUGAGAGGAAGGUCCCCCACACUGGUACUGAGACACGGACCAGACUCCUACGGGAGGCAGCAGUGAGGAAUAUUGGUCAAUGGACGGAAGUCUGAACCAGCCAUGCCGCGUGCAGGAUGACGGCUCUAUGAGUUGUAAACUGCUUUUGUACGAGAAUAAUAGUUCUUACGUGUAGGGAUUUGAAUGUAUCGUACGAAUAAGGAUCGGCUAACUCCGUGCCAGCAGCCGCGGUAAUACGGAGGAUUCGAGCGUUAUCCGGAUUUAUUGGGUUUAAAGGGUGCGUAGGCUGUCGGAUAAGUUAGAGGUCAAAUGUCGGGGCUUAACCCCGUGCCUGCCUCUGAUACUGUUCGACUGGAGAGCGGAUGCAGCAGGCGGAAUGAGUAGUGUAGCGGUGAAAUGCUUAGAUAUUACUCAGAACACCGAUUGCGCAGGCAGCUUGCUAAUCCGCAUCUGACGCUGAUGCACGAAAGCGUGGGUAGCGAACAGGAUUAGAUACCCUGGUAGUCCACGCAGUAAACGAUGAUAACUCGUUGUCG
rnacentral:rRNA from 1 species